AGAGUUUGAUCAUGGCUCAGGAUGAACGCUGGCGGCGUGUCUAAGGCAUGCAAGUCGAACGAUUCUUCAAAGUUUACUUUUUUGAAAAGUGGCAAACGGGUGCGUAACACAUUGGUAACCUACCCCAAAGACGGGAAUAACCCAAGGAAACUUGGAUUAAUACCCGAUAUGCUUGACCUCCAUAAGUUGGUCAAGUAAAGCUCCGGCGCUUUGGGAGGGGCCUAUGGUUUAUCAGCUAGUUGGUGGGGUAAAAGCCCACCAAGGCUACGACGAAUAGCGGGUGUGAGAGCACGACCCGCCUCACUGGGACUGAGACACUGCCCAGACUCCUACGGGAGGCUGCAGUCAAGAAUCUUCCCCAAUGCACGAAAGUGUGAGGGAGCGACGCCGCGUGAAUGAUGAAGCCCUUCGGGGUGUAAAGUUCUUUUAUUAGGGCGAACUAAUGACGGUACCUAAUGAAUAAGGGGCUGCUAAACUAGUGCCAGCAGCAGCGGUAAUACUAGUGCCCCAAGCGUUAUCCGGAUUUAUUGGGCGUAAAGCGUACGUAGGCGGUUUAUUAUGUCGGUGGUAAAAUCCCAAGGCUCAACCUUGGACCUGCCACCGAAACUGAUAGACUAGAGGAUGGGAGAGGCAAGUGGAAUUGCUGGUGUAGGGGUAAAAUCCGUUAAUAUCAGCAGGAACACCAAAUGCGAAGGCAACUUGCUAGAACAUUCCUGACGCUAAGGUACGAAAGCGUGGGUAGCGAAUGGGAUUAGAUACCCCAGUAGUCCACGCCGUAAACGAUGGAUACUAGACAUUGAGAGUAUCGACCCUCUCAGUGUCGGUGAACCAAGCUAACGCAUUAAGUAUCCCGCCUGGGGAGUACGGCCGCAAGGCUAAAACUCAAAGGAAUUGACGGGGACCCGCACAAGCGGUGGAGCACGUGGUUUAAUUCGACAAUAAGCGAGGAACCUUACCAAGGCUUGACAUUUAGCUGCAAGCCCCCAGAAACGGGGGCCUCCUUCGAGGGUGCUAAACAGGUGUUGCAUGGUUGCCGUCAGCUCGUGCCGUGAGGUGUUCAGUUAAGUCUGGAAACGAGCGCAACCCCUACCCUCAUUUGCAUAUUUAUGAGGGGACUGCCGUGUCCAACACGGAGGAAGGUGGGGACGACGUCAAAUCAGCAUGACUCUUACGCCUUGGGCGACACACAUGCUACAAUGGCCGGUACAAAGGGUUGCCAAACCGCAAGGUGGAGCUAAUCCCAACAAAGCCGGCCUCAGUUCGGAUUGAGGUCUGCAACUCGACCUCAUGAAGUCGGAAUCGCUAGUAACCGUAAAUCAGACACGUUACGGUGAAUACGUUCUCGGGUCUUGUACACACCGCCCGUCAUGUCAAGAGAGUCGAUAAUACCCGAAUCCUGGUGUAAGCCGGUAGAAGGUAAGAUCGAUGAUAGGGGCAAAGUCGUAACAAGGUA
rnacentral:rRNA from 1 species